GUAAGCUGAAUGAUACAAAACCUAUCUGAAUGAAGAAGGCAUCUAGUGAUUACUCUCGAUAUAUGCUUUUCUCUAUGGUAGCUCCAAGGAAUAAGGAAGCCAAAAAGGUGAGGAGAUUUAGGAUUACUAAGCAGAUUCACAGAUCAAGGACUGAUUUUUAAUAAAGUAACCCCGAUAGCCAAAGAAAAAGUCCCACCACAGCAAAAAAGGAACAAGAUUUCUGGUACAUAAUACAUAAGGAAAUUUAACUUAAACAAAAUCUUUCUUUCUUUUGAAUAGGGCCCAUAGAGACAUGAAUAUUGAUUGUGGCUUCAUCAAGGUUCUGAUCUCAUUAAGUCUUAAAGAGGAAUAGAUUUAAAUCUAGACACAUGGAUCCAAACAGUAUAUCCCUGGAAUUUAACUACCAUCCAUCACUCAAAUGGCCCUCCAGACUAUUACUUCUCAAUCAGACUUCUAUCAUGGACCACUCGAUAGACCCGAUUUUUAAAUGGGGACUCCAAACUGCUUGCCCCACAUCUUCCCUUUUCAGCCUGAAGAAGCCAGAAAGAUCUUCUUCGCCCCCCUUCCUUAUAGCAGUAAGGAGUUCCCAACUUAGAGGGGGGAAUGAAGCCAGAUUUAAAGUUAGAUAGUCAGUGUAGUUAGGUAAAUCGGGUCUAAUAUCGAGUGAAAUCUGAAAUGGAGACCAUGCAGAGAAUGACUCAGGGAAAACACAGGACAACUCAUGGAAUGUUAAUGAAGUCCCAAAAGGCCCUAGGCCAAAGUCCACCUCAAAGAAAUGUUAAUGAACAGCCCCCAGCAAAAAGGUGCCUGACUCAGAAGUCCUUCCCGACCAGAUUACUUCUUUGGCCCACCUAUGUCCCAACCCUCGGUCCUUCCCACCUACAUUCCAUCACUGAAAGAACUAUAAAAAGGGGAGACAACAUCCCUUCCACGGAUUCCACCUCUUGGGUCCCCUUCUUCCUCCGGGAGAAGUCUUUUCUGCUGUCCUUUAAUAAACUUCUAAUUUCUACUCUGAAAAAAAAAAAAAAAGAUAUAAACUCCAAGUUGAAAUGUUGGUGUCUGAGGUGAGUUUUCAAGAGCCAGAGGACCUUGUUAGUAUAUUAAUCCUUUAUGCUGAGGAGUCCCAUCAACUCUGGUUACUAGACAAGUUUGAUUGGAAAGAGGUCCAGGAGUUUCAAUCAAUGGAGAAAAUCAAACCCCCAUGUCCAAAGGGCAAUUAACAUUACUUGCCACAUCAAAUAUAGCAAAAUUACCCAACGCUCUUCUGAAAUGAUUCCAGUUGAUUGAAGAGAACUCUAGAAAGCUCAGGUAUCCUCAGUCUUUCAGGGCAGAUCAACUAUCUUAUCUCUUAUGAUUUCCCUCUUUGCAGAAGGGGCAUAACUCAGGUGUGGGUGGACUCUGGGGCAGUCCUUGCUCCAGGGUCCAGGAUCACUGCAAUGGUAGCAGCCUCUGGGAUUAGAGUUAUUUUUCCCCUAUUUUAUAUAGCGCCUUGGGGCACCUUUGAGGACAGGGGGUUUUGCCUAAGGUAAGGUGAGCAGUUAGGCCUGUUCUGAAGCCUGGAUUCAUCUCUUUGGAGCCUUCUUAUUUUCCACUCUCUAACUUAUAUUGGAGCCAAGCUGUGUUACAGAAAAAAAGAUCAGUUUCUUUUUCCUCUAGUGCUCUGCCUUCAAAUAAUUUCAGUUAUUUAAUAUGUACCUGAGGUUAGUUCUCAGAGAAAGACACUGAAUUACCCAUAAUCUUGUAAGCACAUGUUCAAAGCUUUCCUUAUAUCUUUCUGGGAAAAAAAAUCUAAAGAAAAACAGGACACUUUUUAAAGUUCCUUCUGUAUAAUUCAUGAGUUUCUAAACUGGGAUGAGACAUUGCUCUAUCACCAACUGCCACAUCAGGAAUCUUAUUUUGUAAGUUUUCCAUGAGACUCAUACAUUCCCAUAGUGAACCUGGAUGAGCAGCACUGGCCUAUCUCACUUUACUGUCUACCUUUGGGUUUGGGGUCCUUGCAACUGGGGAAGCAGCCUUGAUUGGAAAUAAAUAGGCUAGAUCAUUCCUUCUGUUAA